UACGUAGGGAGCAAGCGUUGUCCGGAUUUACUGGGUGUAAAGGGCGUGUAGGCGGAGUUGCAAGUCAGAUGUGAAAUCUGGUGGCUUAACCACCAAACUGCAUUUGAAACUGCAACCCUUGAGUAUCGGAGAGGCAGGCGGAAUUCCUAGUGUAGCGGUGAAAUGCGUAGAUAUUAGGAGGAACACCAGUGGCGAAGGCGGCCUGCUGGACGACAACUGACGCUGAGGCGCGAAAGCGUGGGGAGCAAAC
rnacentral:rRNA from 1 species